rnacentral:rRNA from 1 species
UACGGAGGAUGCAAGCGUUAUCCGGAAUGAUUGGGCGUAAAGCGUCCGUAGGUGGCGAUUCAAGUCUGCUGUUAAAGCGCAGGGCUUAACCCUGUAAAGGCGGUGGAAACUGGAGAGCUAGAGCGUGGUAGGGGUAGAGGGAAUUCCCGGUGUAGCGGUGAAAUGCGUAGAGAUCGGGAGGAACACCUGUGGCGAAGGCGGCCCCCUGGGCCGGCCCUGACACUGAGGCGCGAAAGCCAGGGGAGCAAACGGG